GGGGCUCCCCCCAACCCUCCCUUGCCUUCUGCUUCCUCCCUCCUGCAUCUGUCUGGGUGGGUCUGGGGAGGAGGGGGUCCGGGUGGGCCCAGGCACCACCGUCCCCAGACGAGGCUCCUGAAGCUGAUGGAAAGGGACCGGGAAAGAGGAGGCCCACCGAGCUCGGGACCCCGAGCCAGGCAGACCCCGUCGAGGUUAACACUUACUGGCCUGGUCACCUCCUUCACUGUGCAGCUCUGGCCCACCUCUCCCCACUGUGCAGUGUGGUUUUGUUUGGUUGGGUUUGGUUAUGGCAGGCCCCCUGUAGUGAGUAGAGACCUAGGAACUCUGCCUCGCCAGCCCCCCGGCAGGCCCCCCCUUCCAGCCGUCCCUCAGACCUGGGGCAGGGGGAGCAAAGCAGCCAGAGGUGGCUUCUGACCAGCAGACCCUGGGGAAGCAGCACCAGGCCCUGACCACUACGCAUCAUUUCCCAGGCAGAGGGGCGUGUGGGGCGCUGCCCACAGCAUGGGGUGGGCACUCCAGCCGAAUCCCACAAGGUGACCUGAGCGAGCACCUCUGGAGGCAGAGAAGUCCCUGGGAGCCAGGCCUGAUGCCAGAGGCAGAGGGCCCUCUCAGCAUGAGCAGAUACCCAGAUGGCUCUGGCUGCCAGGCUCUCUUCCUCAUGUGGGUGGUGGCCGUCCGGGGUACUCCUGCUUCCCUUUCUGGGUCCCCACCCCCACUGUGGGCAGAGACAAACCCCAAGAGGUGGCACAGUCUGCACACCCUGGCGCUGCUGUGGGCGUGGGCUCUGCCGUGCCCCUCCUCUCUGCCAGGUACCUAUUGUCAGGUAUUUUAUACCAGAGUCUUAGCCGAACCUCCCUUAUGUCAGACCUUCCAAACUAGGUAGUAUCGUCCCCAUUUGGCAGGUAAGAAAAUUGAGACUCAGGAAACUUUGUCGAUCAGCCCGGGGAAAGCAAUGGCAGAUGUAGGAGUCCAAAGCCCGCAGGCUUUUCCACUUGAAACUGAAAUGGGGUGUGAGACAGUCUGGUGGGCUGGGAGGCCAGGAACCCUGUCCUUUUAGCCAGUAGCUGAUGAAGCUGGGGCCCUCGUGUCCCCUCACCCCAGCAGCUGCCUUAGCCUUGCCGCUGCAGCCACACUCACGGCUGUUCAUCGAGGGCGUGUGGCCAGACCCCUCCACCCCCCCGCCCGCAUGUGUGUCUCCCCAUAGCAUCCUCUGUCCUCCCCAGGCUCCCAUCAGCGGGCCCCAUGAGUCCUUUCCCGCCCUGUCUCCUUCGGGUGUAAGAGGCUUCCCCAGUCCCCCACCAGGAGGCCGAGGGGCAGCCGUUUUGCUCUGCCGUUGGUGUCGGAACCCUGUGGGGCCUCCUCUGAUGACCUUUGCACGUGUGGUAUGUGGUAUGUGGAAGGCGAGGGUGUGAGGUGAGAAGGAGCCGCCCCUCCGAGCUGCGCUGUGGGAAGAAACUCCAGGCCCAGGCAGAGGAAAGGCUGGGACAGGCCUGAGGCCAGGCUGGGCUUCUGACCAGACCCCGGAGAAGCCUCAGCAGAGAUAGGAAGUCAGGAGUCAGGCAACUGCUGACCAGAGGACAGAGGUUUCUAUGGCGACCUGGGGAACAGGAAGCAUGGGGCCCGGGGAGGGAGUGUUGGGAGCAUGGAGGCGUGGGGGCCUCCUAGGAGAGCUUGUCAUAAAAGGUCCACUCAGCCAGCCAACAGCCUCCCUGGGCAAACGAGGAAACUGAGGCCUGUGAGGGAGGGGCUUUGCACAUGGUCACCCAACCCCAGCCCAGCCUCACCUGCCCAGCUGCCCACGCAUCGAGGCAGCCAAGGAGAGCUCGGGCCAUGCGCAGGCCAGGGCACGGGGGGAGCACCUAUACGCUGCCCCCCCACCCCCCCACACCCAUGUCGUGAGGGAGGGUACGGGCCACCUCUUCCUCCUGGUCCCUCUUGUGGGCAUCCGUCUGGGGCAGCAGGCAGGGUCCAGCCCUCCCCGCUGCCCAUGGUGAGCCUAUCACCCCCCCCCCCCCCGCACUGACUGUGGCCUUUUGUUUUCUGAGUGACACUCGCAUCAGGUGGUGUGUUCGGGUGACUAAUCUCCUCCAGGCUGGGCAGCUGUCACAGGGCGGCCUGACCAGGCGGGUGGGGAAAGCCGACACCCUGGGGGAGCACUGGCAAGCCGGUGCCUUGGCAGCAGUGGGCAGCUGGGCCUUCAGCUUCCUCUUCCCGGGUGCAGAGCAGACCCCAUGUCAGGCAGACCUGGGAUCAGGUCCUAGUCCUGUCACUGGCCAGCUGUGUGACCUUGGAGCAUGUUACUGUACGUCGUCAAGCCUCAGUUUCCUCGUCUCUGUAAUGGAGCCGUUGGUCCUGCCUGCCUCUUGGGGUGGUGGUGGGGAUCAAAGAAGCUGGCACAUGAGAGUGCUUAGCCCAGGUGUUGGGGUAAAGGGACCACUACUGCUUUAUUAUGGCUCCCUUCCUGCCCCCGUCCCACCUGAGUGCCAGCUCCUGGUCCAGGAGGGCAGCCCCUGCUCUCCCUGUAUCUCAGGUGCAGGCUUUGUCCUCCUCAGGUGGAGGCGGGUUCCAGCGCUGGCUCCGCAUCGACCAGCUAUGCACCUGAGCAGGUUACCUCCUUGCACGUCCUCAGGAACUGAGCAUGAUGUGUGUUCUGUAGGGUGCUGCGGUUUAUGAAAUGGCACACGUUUGUAAAGGGCUCAGUGCAGUGCCUGACACGUGUGGGCGCUCCGUAAAUGUGAGCCUUGAUGGUACUGAUUUUCGGAGGGAGCCAAGAGCUCUCCUGCCCUUCUCCCUGUCACCGGCAGAGGCCGGGGACUGUAAGAGGCAGAAACCCAGAGACGGGCAGGCCUGAACACUGCUUCCCCAGACAUGGCUGACUCCCUCUCAGUAGCCCUGCACCCAUCCAAGGCCCUGGCCCUGACCCUGCCUGCCUGGACCCCCAGGGGUGGGGCAUGGGAGGAGUAGGUGCUGGACAUGCAGCCCAAGCCUGACUCCUCAAACCCAUCGCCUCCCACCAUUUGUCCAGGGCUCCCACCCUCCAGGCCUAACUCUUGUCAGAGGCCCUUAGCGGGCAGAAGUAUCUCUUGUCAGCCCCAGGCAGAUGUCCUGUGACUGUGACUCAGGCCUCCCUGUGGCUGCCGGGGCCCGGGAGAGUACCUGAUGGCCCCAGGCGCUCUGGAGGCAUUGCCUCCCUGAAGGCCUUCCCCACUGUUAGUAAGAGGUAAGGGUGCAGGUGCUCCCAGUGGCCUGUGAAGAAGGGACAGCGGUGGGUAGGUGAGCUGGCAAAGCAUCGGAGCCCAUGUUCAGACCAGGUCAAGGGAGGAUGGCCUGAGCAAGGGUGCUCCCCACACAUCCUGCAGGAGGGAGCUCUGGGCGGCCCAGGUCAAGGUGCAGUUCACAGGCUCCCUCAGCAGAAGAGCUGACGGGUUUUCAGACAUUGGCCAGCACUUUUCACACACAAAUGUCCCUGCUGGGCCUCAGAAGGGCGAGACCAGAAGAGUGCUUACUGUUAGCCUCUCAGAGACAGAGCACGCAUGCCCAGAGCCCAGAGGCGCUCUCUUGGCUCUUGUGGCCUCCCACACAACGUCCCCCAGUGGCUUCUCUCCCCACGCAGCCGCCUCUCCAGUUCUCUGGGCCCUUGAUCAGGAGUUCCUGUUGUGGCACAGUGGAAACGAAUUCGACUAGUAACCAUGAGGUUACAGGUUUGAUCCCUGACCUCGCGCAAUGGAUUAAGGAUCCGACAUUGCCAUGAGCGGUGGUGUAGGGCACAGAUGCAGCUCGGAUCCUGCAUUGCUGUGGCUGUGGUGUAGGCCAGCAGCUGGAGCUCCAUUUCACCUCCUAGCCUGGGAACCUCCAUGUGCCAUGGGUGUGGCCCUAAAAAGAAAAAAAUAAUAAUUAAGGCACGCGUCAGGUUCUCUCCAUUUCUAGUGCCACUCUCAGCCUGACUCCAAGGGUGGGAUCAUCUCAGAACUGAAUUUCUCUUCAGAGAGCCUCAUUUUCUCACCAUUUCUUGGUUCCUGCCACGUCGCAGGAGGGGACACCUCAGCCUAACCUGCCCUGUGUUGUUGGCACCACAAAGGCCCAACGAAAGGAAGAGCCUUGCCCUCAGUCUCUAGGCUGGCUCCCAGCUUCCAGCUUCUUUUUUCCUUUCUUUUCCAUCAGCUUCUGGCAAGGGUCCUGAAGUCAUUUAGGCCCGAGCUCUGUGGAUCGUGGUGCCUGGACAGGGAAGCCAGAUGGGGACUGGCAGCACUUCCCACCCAGCAGUCCUGGGCAGCACCGGGCAGGACUGGGGAGAGGCUACUGCGUCCGACAGAGCUGAACCUGGGCUCCCCCCGGGUCCUCUGGUUCCUUGAACACCCUGUUGACGAGAUCGGAGGCCAUAGGCCAGCCCUCCCCCAUUCCUCCCCAGUGUCCCCUCUCUGCUGAGGACAGAGGCUGUGACUGGAUUCCUGGGAGCAGGAUGGGCAGUGGCCUGGCCCAGCUCCUGAUGCUCCUGGUCUCUGUGCCCAACAGCCACCCUCCUGCCCCUGCCAUGGAGACCUUCUUUAGGAGACACUUCCAGCGGAAGGCGCCAGGUCCUGGAGAGGGGCAGCGGCGGCCCAGUGGUGUGGGGCUGCCCACGGGCAAGGCCCGGCGCCGCUCGCCGGCCGGGCAGGCCUCCUCCUCCCUGGCACAGCGGCGCCGCUCCAGCGCACAGCUCCAGGGCUGCCUCCUGGGCUGCAGGGUGGGGGCCCGGCACUCAAGCCGCCGGCGCUCCAGCACCGCACCCCCCGCCUGCAACCCCCGCUUCACCGUGGAUGAGGUGCCCACCCCGCAGCCCUCCACGGUCAGGACCCGGCUUCUGGGCGCACCCCUGCUAUUGGCCGGGCUCAUGGGCAUGGAGGAGGCAGAGGAGGGGGUCCAGGAGGAGGAUGUGACCCUUACAUCAUUGAGUGCCAGCUGGCCAGGCACCAAGAGACCAGGGCCACUUCUGCAUCAGGACGCCCGGCCCCUGCUGCCCGUUCCCCACUGGCGCCGGCGCCGGGCCUCCUCCCAUCUGCUGCCGGCCGACGUGGUGUACGACUGUGCCCUCUCGGGCCUGCACGGUUACUACCGGCGCCUCAGCCAGCAGCGGCCCUCAGGCCAGCAUCCCAACCCUGGGGGCCGAAGAGCCUCGGGCACCACAGCCAGCCCCGGGAUGCCCGCCCGCGUGCGCCCACUGUCCCGCAGGCGCCAGGUAGCCCUGCGGCGCAAGUCAGCCGGACCCCAGACCUGGAGUGCCCUGCUUGCGAAAGCCAUCACCAAGUCGGGCCUCCAGCACCUGGCACCCCCUCCUCCUGCUCCUGGGGCCCCGUGCAUCGAGCCUGAGCGGCAGAUCCGGAGCACUGUGGACUGGAGUGAGUCAGCAACGUAUGGGGAACACAUCUGGUUCGAGACCAACGUGUCCGGGGACUUCUGCUAUGUUGGGGAGCAGUACUGUGUAGCCAAGAUGCUGCAGAAAUCAGUAUCCCGGAGAAAGUGUGCAGCCUGCAAGAUCGUGGUGCACACCCCCUGCAUUGAACAGCUGGAGAAGAUAAAUUUCCGCUGUAAGCCAUCCUUUCGUGAGUCAGGCUCCAGGAACGUCCGUGAGCCAACCUUCGUGCGGCACCACUGGGUACACAGGCGACGCCAGGAUGGCAAGUGUCGGCACUGUGGGAAGGGCUUCCAGCAGAAGUUCACCUUCCACAGCAAGGAGAUCGUGGCCAUCAGCUGCUCCUGGUGCAAGCAAGCAUACCACAGCAAGGUGUCCUGCUUCAUGCUGCAGCAGAUCGAGGAGCCCUGCUCCCUGGGGGUGCAUGCCGCCGUGGUCAUCCCCCCCACCUGGAUCCUCCGUGCCCGCAGGCCCCAGAAUACCCUCAAGGCAAGCAAGAAGAAAAAGAGGGCAUCCUUCAAGAGGAAAUCUAGCAAGAAAGGGCCCGAGGAGGGCCGCUGGAGACCCUUCAUCAUCAGGCCCACCCCGUCGCCCCUCAUGAAGCCCCUGCUGGUAUUUGUGAACCCCAAGAGUGGAGGCAACCAGGGCGCCAAGAUCAUCCAGUCCUUCCUCUGGUAUCUCAACCCCCGGCAAGUCUUUGACCUGAGCCAGGGAGGGCCCAAGGAGGCGCUGGAGAUGUACCGCCGGGUGCACAACCUGCGGAUCCUGGCGUGCGGGGGCGACGGCACGGUUGGCUGGAUCCUCUCCACCCUGGACCAACUGCGCUUAAAACCGCCACCACCUGUCGCCAUCCUUCCCCUGGGCACUGGCAAUGACUUGGCCCGCACCCUCAACUGGGGCGGGGGCUACACGGAUGAGCCGGUGUCCAAGAUCCUCUCCCACGUAGAGGAGGGCAACGUGGUGCAGCUGGACCGCUGGGACCUCCGGGCUGAGCCCAACCCUGAGGCAGGGCCUGAAGAGCGUGAUGAGGGCGCCACUGACAGGCUGCCCCUGGAUGUCUUCAACAACUACUUCAGCCUGGGCUUUGAUGCCCACGUCACCCUGGAGUUUCACGAGUCUCGAGAGGCCAACCCAGAGAAAUUCAACAGCCGCUUUCGGAAUAAGAUGUUCUACGCUGGGACAGCCUUCUCCGACUUCCUGAUGGGCAGCUCCAAGGACUUGGCCAAGCACAUCCGCGUGGUGUGUGACGGGACUGACCUGACCCCCAAGAUUCAGGACCUGAAACCCCAGUGCAUUGUUUUCCUGAACAUCCCCAGGUACUGCGCGGGCACCAUGCCCUGGGGCCACCCUGGGGAGCACCACGACUUUGAGCCCCAGCGGCACGAUGAUGGCUACCUCGAGGUCAUUGGCUUUACCAUGACAUCCCUGGCAGCGCUGCAGGUGGGUGGGCAUGGUGAGAGACUGACACAGUGCCGGGAGGUGCUACUCACCACGUCCAAGGCCAUCCCAGUGCAAGUGGACGGCGAGCCCUGCAAGCUUGCGGCCUCACGCAUCCGCAUUGCCCUCCGCAACCAGGCCACGAUGGUGCAGAAGGCCAAGCGGCGGAGUGCUGCCCCCCUGCACAGCGACCAGCAGCCGGUGCCGGAGCAGCUGCGGAUCCGGGUGAGCAGGGUCAGCAUGCUCGACUACGAGGCCCUGCACUACGACAAGGAGCAGCUCAAAGAGGCCUCCGUGCCACUGGGCACCGUGGUGGUCCCAGGAGACAGUGACCUGGAGCUGUGCCGAGCCCACAUCGAGAGGCUCCGGCAGGAGCCCGAAGGUGCUGGAGCCAAGUCUCCAACGUGCCAGAAACUGUCUCCCAAGUGGUGCUUCCUGGAUGCCACCACUGCCAGCCGCUUCUACAGAAUCGACAGGGCCCAGGAACACCUCAACUAUGUGACCGAGAUCGCACAGGACGAGAUUUAUAUCCUGGACCCUGAGCUGCUGGGGGCGUCUGCCCGGCCUGACCUCCCAACCCCCACCUCCCCUCUCCCCACCUCGCCCUGCUCACCCACGCCCCGGUCACGGCCAGGGGAUGCUGCACCCCCUACAGGUGAAGAGUUGAUCGAGGCCGCCAGGAGGAAUGAUUUCUGUAAGGGGCUUCCUGGCUCAGUCCGCUGUCCCCGGUGCUCAGAAAGAAGGGAGUCUUAGAGGAACUGAAAGCCCCAGGGCUUGAUCGUCAUUGUUUCUGGGGAGUCCAGGGGCACCUGGGAUGAGAGAAGCCCGAGGCCUCUCCCCUGCACUCCAGAAGGACCCCCAGACUCUAGGGACCCUGGGGUCCGUGUGAGUUGGGAAGUGCUUCUGUGGCUGGAAGGAGGGUGGCCCAGAGGAGCCCCAGCCCUGCCCUGCCUCCUGCCCCCAGCUCCAGGAGCUGCACCGAGCCGGGGGUGACCUCCUGCACCGUGACGAGCGGAGCCGCACGCUUCUGCACCAUGCUGUCAGCACGGGCAGCAAGGAGGUGGUUCGCUACCUGCUGGACCAUGCCCCCGCAGAGAUCCUUGAUGCUGUGGAGGAAAAUGGAGAGACCUGUCUGCACCAGGCCGCGGCCCUGGGCCAGCGCACCAUCUGCCACUACAUCGUGGAGGCUGGGGCCUCUCUCAUGAAGACAGACCAGCAGGGUGACACGCCCCGGCAGCGGGCUGAGAAGGCUCAGGACACGGAACUGGCCGCAUACUUGGAGAACCGGCAGCACUACCAGAUGAUCCAGAGGGAGGACCAGGAGACGGCUGUGUAGCUGUGAGGCCAAGGCCAGAGCAGCAGCAGGGACAAGGACUGGGUCGGGCGGCAGAAGGAUGAGCCCCUCCUCACCCACCUCACUGCCACAUUCCAGUCGGAAGUCGCAGAGGGACCCAGGCCCGAGGGACCCAGGCCCCAGGGCCGAGCCCCGUGCUGCCCCCCUGAGGAGCUGCCCAGAUCAGGGCUGGACUCUGAGAAGCUGGGGUGGGGGGGCGGUCUCACCCAUUGCGCUGAGGCUCCAGCAUAACUCAGAGGUUCAACGGGGAAACAGGAGACUGGGCUGGGCUGGGCUGGGCAGGCCUUUGGGGGGACGGGGGCAGCCCUCACCCUCACUGCAGGGGCUGCCCUGGCGUUUAGGGGGAGAAAGAGGGCAGAGGGGCUCGAGGCCCUAUCAGGGGGCCUUCAGGAAAAGGCUUCUGAAGAUUCCCAGGCCUCUGGGACCCCCACUCAGGCUCCUGGGAGCUUGGGCCUGGUCUCCUGCCCUGAUCCCAACCCUCCCGCCGGCCUCCUCCUGGAAACAAGGAGCCUGCUGCAUCUGCCUGCGGCUGCCUGCCCUGCUUAGCACCUACCCCGUGACCCUCCUCUCUACCCGGUCAUUUCACCUCCGACUGUGUGGCCCGGGGGUGGGGUGGGGCUCUCACGGUGACAUGUUUACAGCUGGGUGUGACUCAGUAAAAUGGAUUUUUUUUCCUU